AUGCAAGUCGAACGCGAAAGUCCCGCAAGGGAUCAGUAGAGUGGCAAACGGGUGAGUAACGCGUGGGUGACCUGCCUUCGAGCGGGGGAUAACGUUUCGAAAGGGACGCUAAUACCGCAUGACAUCCUGCCUUUGAAGAGGUGGAGAUCAAAGCUGGGGAUCGCAAGACCUAGCACUUGAAGAGGGGCCCGCGUCUGAUUAGCUAGUUGGUGAGGUAACGGCUCACCAAGGCAUCGAUCAGUAUCCGGCCUGAGAGGGCGGACGGACACACUGGGACUGAGACACGGCCCAGACUCCUACGGGAGGCAGCAGUGGGGAAUUGUUCGCAAUGGGCGCAAGCCUGACGACGCAACGCCGCGUGGAGGAUGAAGACCUUCGGGUCGUAAACUCCUUUCGAUCGAGACGAACGGCUUCCGGGUGAACAAUCCGGGAGAGUGACGGUACCGAGAGAAGAAGCCCCGGCUAACUCCGUGCCAGCAGCCGCGGUAAUACGGGGGGGGCAAGCGUUGUUCGGAAUUACUGGGCGUAAAGGGCUCGUAGGCGGCCAACUAAGUCAGACGUGAAAUCCCUCGGCUUA
rnacentral:rRNA from 1 species